UGACUUUGGGCCUGACUUGUAACCCUGCCUUUGCUGAGGAUCACUGGACUGUUGAUGGGUCUUGUUGGUGUCAUCAUCCGUGCUUUGCUCACCUGGAUCAGGAGCCCCACCUGUGAGAUUAGAUGCUGAAGACCUUUGAAAGAGGAAAGCCAACCCGGCUGGUGAAUUGAAGUGGCAGACCACCAUCUUCAGGGGAAGCUACAUGAAAAGGUCUGGGACUGCAAGUGUAGCCUGUCACCUUGUUAAGCUGAUGAUGGGCUGCUGUUGUUCCAGACAUCUCUCAAAUGUUCAGGGGGAUGAUGAGACAAACACCCGUUUGUUUCCACAGUCUGUAUAAUUGGUACCGUUUUUGCAGAUGGCGCACUACACAAUUCUUUGAGGUACACGCCAAAUAGUCAUGAAUGACUUGGGAGGAAUGCUGGAAAAAAUACAGAGAUUAAAACUUCCAGCAGUUUCUGCUCCCAUCAGAUU